CUGCCCCCAGCUGUGCACACUGAGGGGAUUCGAGAUGGAGAAAGACAGGAUGCUGGCCCUAGAUAGUAAAGAUGUGGAAAGUGAAGACAGACAGGUGAAGAAAUGUUUCUUAGGGCACCUGGACCUGGACUCACAACCCCAGCCCAGUAUCCUCCCUUCCUGAGGGCUGCCUCUAACCCAGGCGGUUACUCUGCUUUGUGCUUUAGAUUACACAGAGUCUGUCUCUGUUGCUUGCAACCCGGUGGCAGAGCCUGGAGAUUGGAAACCCAGGCUCUUAAAUCAGAUGAACC